GGGCGAACCCUAGUUGUCCUCACAGGCAGGAGGACGCCACAGGGGAAACAACGUUGGGGAGCUGAGACAGGGAGUCGAGAGAUAGGGAUAUGAGGGCUAAGUGGAAGAAGAAGCGUAUGCGCAGGCUGAAGAGGAAGCGCAGGAAGAUGAGGCAGAGAUCCAAGUAGGAGGGUGAGCAGUUGCAGGAGUUCCUAAUUUUAAUUCUCGUCGGUUGCUGUUUGAAUUUCUGGCACUAAACUUUAAUUUUAAUUCUUGGAUAUCCAAUUUUUUGAACUUCAGUUUUUGUUUAUUAAAGUUAAAAUUGUCUUCAUUUAACUUUUGUCUUAUAUAUGGAAUCAUGUUUGCGAGA